GGCGUGCCUAAUACAUGCAAGUCGAGCGGACAGAUGGGAGCUUGCUCCCUGAUGUUAGCGGCGGACGGGUGAGUAACACGUGGGUAACCUGCCUGUAAGACUGGGAUAACUCCGGGAAACCGGGGCUAAUACCGGAUGGUUGUCUGAACCGCAUGGUUCAGACAUAAAAGGUGGCUUCGGCUACCACUUACAGAUGGACCCGCGGCGCAUUAGCUAGUUGGUGAGGUAACGGCUCACCAAGGCGACGAUGCGUAGCCGACCUGAGAGGGUGAUCGGCCACACUGGGACUGAGACACGGCCCAGACUCCUACGGGAGGCAGCAGUAGGGAAUCUUCCGCAAUGGACGAAAGUCUGACGGAGCAACGCCGCGUGAGUGAUGAAGGUUUUCGGAUCGUAAAGCUCUGUUGUUAGGGAAGAACAAGUGCCGUUCAAAUAGGGCGGCACCUUGACGGUACCUAACCAGAAAGCCACGGCUAACUACGUGCCAGCAGCCGCGGUAAUACGUAGGUGGCAAGCGUUGUCCGGAAUUAUUGGGCGUAAAGGGCUCGCAGGCGGUUUCUUAAGUCUGAUGUGAAAGCCCCCGGCUCAACCGGGGAGGGUCAUUGGAAACUGGGGAACUUGAGUGCAGAAGAGGAGAGUGGAAUUCCACGUGUAGCGGUGAAAUGCGUAGAGAUGUGGAGGAACACCAGUGGCGAAGG
rnacentral:rRNA from 1 species